GGAGUGAAAAGGCACCGGCUUGCAUGGAGAGGUGAUUGAUGGCAUGGAGUGACUGGGAGAGACACAGGAACUCCAAGUGAAGGGGAUAGGAUCAGGGGGGCUGAAGAGCUACUCGUCGGAAAGAUGGAAGAACAUCUGCAUGAGGUUCGGGCACACUGAGCUAGAAAGUCACUUCAUCACAAGGAAGGACCAUCCAUCUGCAUAGGCCACGGAGAGGACCACACCAGGCCAAUCCAGCCUGUCCAGACCGACAACGACUGUGGACAAUCCCCUGAUGCUGGUGGACGGACGAGCGCGAACAGGCCUUUCCAGCCCAAGUUUCACCAUCCGGCAAACCGCCUAUUUUAACCCUAGCCUAAUCACAGGACGAUGUACAAUGAACAAUUAACUUACUAACCGGUA